AUUGAACGCUGGCGGCAGGCCUAACACAUGCAAGUCGAACGGUAACAGGAAGAUUCUUGCUUCUUUGCUGACGAGUGGCGGACGGGUGAGUUAUGUAUGGGAAACUGCCUGAUGGAGGGGGAUAACUUCUGGAAACGGUAGCUAAUACCGCAUAACGUCGCAAGACCAAAGAGGGGGGCCUUCGGGCCUCUUGCCAUCGGAUGUGCCCAGAUGGGAUUAGCUAGUAGGUGGGGUAACGGCUCACCUAGGCGACGAUCCCUAGCUGGUAUGAGAGGAUGACCAGUCACACUGGAACUGAGACACGGUCCAGACUCCUACGGGAGGCAGCAGUGGGGAAUAUUGGACAAUGGGCGCAAGCCUGAUGCAGCCAUGCCGCGUGUAUGAAGAAGGUCUUCGGGUUGUAAAGUACUUUCAGCGGGGAGGAAGGGAAUAAAGUUAAUACCUUUGCUCAUUGACGUUACCCGCAGAAGAAGCACCGGCUAACUCCGUG
rnacentral:rRNA from 1 species